UGUGCUACUAUGCACCCAUGCGUAUUACUGUUUACUACCGAGUAGUUCAACAGUUUAACGGUAAAACUUCCGCCGUUAUUUUUAUAAAAAGAUAAUUAUGUCAUUUUCUAACUACGACAAUACUUCCGUUGUGGGGUCCACCAAUGAUUGUGUCGUCAUACGAAUAUUCCCUGUUAAAACGAAUAUUCCCCGACCAAUCGAAUAUUAUAUAACCACU
rnacentral:lncRNA from 1 species